ensembl:lncRNA
CGACCACCCACUGGGAGGUAAGCCGGCCGGCGUCUGUCUGUCUGUCUGAUUUUGUCUCGUUCUGCCUUAUUCUGUCUGUUCUGUGAGCGCUCAGCCAGGUUCUGUGAGCGCUCAGCCAGGUCUGUUCUGUGAGCGCUCAGCCAGGUCUGUUCUGUGAGCGCUCAGCCAGGCUGUUUGGAAUUUGGGCGGGACGAAGAAGGAGCUGACGAGCUCGGACUUCUCGCCCCGCAGCCCUGGAAGACGUUCCAAGGGUGUUAGGGGCCCGACUUUUCGGGGCCCAAUCUGGGAGAGGAGAAAGAUCCGGACUAACGGCACCUCUGUCUGUAUUUUUGGCUUUCAGAGGGCCCCGGACCUUUGCCACCUCCAUCUGACUUUUUGCUUUCAGUUUGGUACCAAAGCCGUG